AUAUAUAUGAACGAUAUCAAAAUUAUCAAAAUUAUUGUGAAAAGUAGUACUGUCCGAGGCCAUUGCCGACACAAUACUUCCUUGUUGUUUACCUUGCAAGAUCGAUUAUAAAUCGCAUUAAUAACCAGAUAUUUGUUUUAGUGAAGAGCUUUAGUUUAGUAAGCCACUUCAUUCAACGUAUUAAAUUCCUUACGAGCUCCACUGAUUAAGGACGCAGCUUGCAGCGGCCAUGGCAUUCAUAUCGAGGCUUCAGCAGUUAAGUUAACAACGUGUUAAAAGCGUGUGUAAUAUAUAGUCAUUUCUAUCAAAACGUGUGUGUUCAUAUUUAUUUUAAUUACAUAGGAUUGUGUUCAAAUCAAAUAAUGGAUGAUUCAGACAAGGUGGAAGAAAACAGGGGCGGUGGAUAAGAGACUGGCUUUUAAGACGACCCGCUCUCGGCCAAUACGAGACUUUGAUGGCCGAACUGAUGGCUGAAGAUCCGGCGGCUUUUAGAAACGUUCACCAGAAUCCGGCCUGAUAUGUUCCAUGAGCUUAGACAGGUCUUUCGUCCCAGGAUCACGAAGAACCACAUCUGGUUCAGACAGUCCAUCAAUCCAGAUUUGAAGUUGGCAAUUACCUUAAUGUUCUUGGCCACAGGGGACAGUUACCAUCCAUUGAUGAUUGGGUUUCGUGUUGCACACAAUACGAUUUGUAGUAUUGUACGGGACGUUUGUGAGGCCAUAGUUUCAGCAUAUGCUGGGGAUGUUAUCCAGACUCCUACUGAGCCUGAGGAGUGGAAGGCCAUAGCCGAUCAGUUCGCGGCUAAAUGGCAAUUAAUUUCCACAUGCCUUUGAAGCUCUAGAUGGAAAGCAUGUAGCCAUACGAUGUCCCAAGAACAGUGGCUCAUUAUACUAUAACUAUAAAGGUUACCAGUCUGCUGUGCCGAUGGUGGACGUCGAUAACCAAUUCAUAUGGGUAAAUAUUGGAUCGCAAGGAGGAUGUUCCGACGCAGAAAUCUGGAAUCAAAGCGACCUCAAGUUGGCAAUCGAAAGGGGGUUGAUUGGCAUUCCAGAUGCAACACUAUUUCCAGGUGACGACAGACCAAAAGGAUACUAUUUCAUCGCAGAUAAUGCAUUUGCCAUGAGGACAUAGCUUAUGAAGCCAUUCUCACGACGAGGCCUUGAGAAGGACGAUCGAAUUUUAAACUCUGUCUAGAGCCUGGAGAGUUGUGGUGAAUGCUUUUGGAAUUCUCGCUCAACGAUUCCGAUGCUUAAUGUCUAUUCAGCCACAAAGACCAGACACGGUUGAAUCGAUAGUUCUCGCAUGCGUUUUCCUUCACAAUAUAAUGAGGGUAAGAUAUCCUGGUGAUCAGAACAUGCAUUUGGACAAAAAAAAUACGUUGAUAACGAAUCAUUUCAGGGAACACGUUUUUAAGUGAAUAAUAUAUAUUAGAAAAUGUGGAUAUGUAAUUUGUUUGCGAUAAACUUUAAACUGUAGCAUCUAUACGCAGCAAUUUGUGAAACACAUACAUUACUAGAACGCAAAAUGCAAUUGCUUAUUGUAUCAUAAUAUGUAGCUGCCGACAAUAAGUACAAGUUAUUUCGAUGUCGUUGAUCUAAUCCGCCUAUGUGUAGUUAUCUAUGUAACGUAUUCAAAUUGUUUUGUGUUGUAUACGUCGUAAUUAUUUACCGCUUUUUUAAGCUUUCGAAACCACUCAACAAACUUUGUAUCUAACACCCACCCCUUCAUUCUUUAAAUAAAUAAAUCCAAGCAUUAUAUUUCAGGAGCUAAUGUAAAAAUCAUACAAGCCUCUUGAAAUAUAGGUUCAUUUGUGAAGUAUAUAUUGAAAAUUAUCGAACCAUUUAUAAUGUUGCAGAGCAUCAACGCCUUUUCAUAUACAUUUUAAUCUCACUAUUUAACAUAAUAUAUGCAUUUGUUGUUGCUGCUUUUGCUAUGUUUAUUAUAAAAAGAUGCAUUUUUACAUUGUAAAGUUAAAACUAGUAUCAUUACAGAACAAUUACUUUAUCUUAUGCAAAUACAUGUAUAACUUACGUAUAUAAAUAUUUAAAUGUUUGAUUGCUUUGAUACAUAAAUGCAGACACUUUUUGGCGCAAUGUGCUUCAUAAGUUUGAAUUUGACUUGUUUUAGUAGAGCCAAACGUUGAAACGAAAUAUGGUCAUGAAAAGUUGUCCAUACAUUACAAGAAACAAAAACAAAAUUAAUCACAAUCCAUACCACUGGUAUUUAUAUAUGGGAGUAACUAAUAUUGCCAUAAUAGUCAUUUAUGACAUAGCAAGAAAUCACUCAAUGUACAGUUUUUGAUAUAUGAUUAACAUGCUCAAAACAAUGACACAGUAGGCAAGAAGGAUAAACUCAAUUUCAUACGUAAAUAGUGUUCAUACGGUAUGGAAAGAUGUGCAUUAACCGGAUUAUAAAAUCAGAAUGCAAUGGAUUGUUUCCAAUGGAUAAGUGUGAGAUUAUUAUAAUUGCAUUCUUCUGUUUUGCAACACUUCUAACAAUACAAGUGAUGUAUGUGUACUCUUAAAACAAUAUUUCCAUUCAAAAAUAAGCAUCGAAACUCUU